UAACUUAGUGGCGAACGGGUGAGUAACGCGUGAGUAACCUGCCCUGGAGUGGGGGACAACAGUUGGAAACGACUGCUAAUACCGCAUAAGCCCACGGCCCGGCAUCGGGCUGCGGGAAAAGGAUUUAUUCGCUUCAGGAUGGACUCGCGUCCAAUUAGCUAGUUGGUGAGGUAACGGCCCACCAAGGCGACGAUUGGUAGCCGGACUGAGAGGUUGAACGGCCACAUUGGGACUGAGACACGGCCCAGACUCCUACGGGAGGCAGCAGUGGGGGAUAUUGCACAAUGGGGGAAACCCUGAUGCAGCGACGCCGCGUGGAGGAAGAAGGUUUUCGGAUUGUAAACUCCUGUCGUUAGGGACGAUAAUGACGGUACCUAACAAGAAAGCACCGGCUAACUACGUGCCAGCAGCCGCGGUAAAACGUAGGGUGCAAGCGUUGUCCGGAAUUACUGGGUGUAAAGGGAGCGCAGGCGGACCGGCAAGUUGGAAGUGAAAACUAUGGGCUCAACCCAUAAAUUGCUUUCAAAACUGCUGGCCUUGAGUAGUGCAGAGGUAGGUGGAAUUCCCGGUGUAGCGGUGGAAUGCGUAGAUAUCGGGAGGAACACCAGUGGCGAAGGCGACCUACUGGGCACCAACUGACGCUGAGGCUCGAAAGCAUGGGUAGCAAACAGAAUUAGAUACCCUGGUAGUCCAUGCCGUAAACGAUGAUUACUAGGUGUUGGAGGAUUGACCCCUUCAGUGCCGCAGUUAACACAAUAAGUAAUCCACCUGGGGAGUACGACCGCAAGGUUGAAACUCAAAGGAAUUGACGGGGGCCCGCACAAGCAGUGGAGUAUGUGGUUUAAUUCGAAGCAACGCGAAGAACCUUACCAGGUCUUGACAUCCGAUGCAUAGUGCAGAGAUGCAUGAAGUCCUUCGGGACAUCGAGACAGGUGGUGCAUGGUUGUCGUCAGCUCGUGUCGUGAGAUGUUGGGUUAAGUCCCGCAACGAGCGCAACCCUUAUUGCCAGUUACUACGCAAGAGGACUCUGGCGAGACUGCCGUUGACAAAACGGAGGAAGGUGGGGAUGACGUCAAAUCAUCAUGCCCUUUAUGACCUGGGCUACACACGUACUACAAUGGCGUUUAACAAAGAGAAGCAAGACCGCGAGGUGGAGCAAAACUCAAAAACAACGUCUCAGUUCAGAUUGCAGGCUGCAACUCGCCUGCAUGAAGUCGGAAUUGCUAGUAAUCGCGGAUCAGCAUGCCGCGGUGAAUACGUUCCCGGGCCUUGCACACACCGCCCGUCA
rnacentral:rRNA from 1 species